GAUUGAAAAGCUUCCCAAGGCGCCAACCUUCAAGAUUUAAAGGGAAGUAGGGCUGAUUUAGCUCUGUUCUGGUUCUGUUUCUGCUCAGCAUUCUCAGGUCUAAGAUUCCUGGGUUGGCUUCUGAGAGGGAGGAGACAGCCACCACAGCAAGAACAGCACCAGGAGUUUUAGAUUAAAAAUGGAAAGCAGAGAGUAGGGGAUGAGGCCUGUGGGCUGAGGACUGCCUGGCUCAGAACGGUGGAGGGAGAAGGUCAAGAGGAGGAGGGGAGCCAUCAGAGCUAACUGCCCGUCACCUGCUUGCCUUCAGAAGAUGUGCCUUCCGGGACCUGGUGGAGAGCAGAUGCCAGUGAGGUGCCUGUGGAGAGAAGGAAGCGUUUUCAUGUUCAGCCACACUUCUGCGGUCAUGCAAUUGGGUAACAGGGAAGAGGAAGAUGAUGAUGGCGGUGGUGGGGCUCCCUGUGAGUCUUGACCUGAACACUUUACCGUUGACCUUGCCUCUGGAACCUUCCCUGGUGGGGGCUCAUCAGGGCUGACAGAAUGGAGACAUGAUAUCUGGACUUGAGCAGCCACCUUGGACCACGAGAUGACAUGACAAUGACAGUGAAUUACAAAAUCAGAAGAUGACAAGUGGAGCCAUCAUAUCAACCCUGGGCUGUCUAUCUCUGGGCUUCUUAUAUGUAAAAAAGAAUACAUUUCUGACUGAUUCCAGCUGCUAUUAUUUGUGAGGGAGCUGGCAGAAGGGAGCUAGCUCUACUAUACCCAUUAAACUGACACAAGUAUAAUUUCACCUUUCUCUCUUAGGUGGUGGCCUGAGGAGUAGAAUUCUGGAGACCUAAGGUCAGAGCAGAAACACUGAAGGCCUCUGGGUGGUGACACAUUUCCUGACUGGCUCAGGCUGCUGCUGUUCACAGCCUGGCCGAGCUCCUCUGUUUGGCCUGAGCAGUGAGAGAGAUGGACAGAGAAUGGAAGGGAGAGGAAGCUCUGACUGGUCCUCACAGGGCUGAGUUGCCAAAUGUCUUGUUCUGAAAAGGGAACGGGUUUCACGUGGAUAGAUGGAAGGACUACUUGUUCCCUCUGGAAAGUUCUAUUAAAUGACCAACCCAGACACACUUUAAUAUUAAUGGGAAAUUCCUCCCGUUGUUUAUGAAAUCAUUUUAGAGUUGAUUUUAAAAAGACAGGGGGAGAGGGAGAAAAAGGCAUUUGUUAGCUAAACGAAACCUAGACAAUUAUUUAUAGAUGCAUCUGAGUGGCUUGUUUUAACAUGGAGCAACUGUCUGAAAAGACUCCACUUUGACACCAGUAAGCACUCCUGGCACUAAGAAUAAAUUUAUGAAUGUCUUUUAUGAGAGUCAACAAACUAGACAAAUAACCCCACAGACUGUCUUUCGCGUCUCGAACCAGAACAAAGACAGUUGUAUUCGUCAUUGGUCCUGGGCAGGAACUGGGCCAAGCUGAG
rnacentral:lncRNA from 1 species